UUUCCUUUAGCCAAGUUGGUUUAAGGCGCAAGACUGUAAUAAUCUUGAGAUCGGGCGUUCGACUCGCCCCCGGGAGAU
rnacentral:tRNA from 1 species